ensembl:snRNA U1 U1 spliceosomal RNA
AUACUUACCUGGCAGGGGAGAUACCAUGAUCACGAAGGUGGUUUUCCCAGGGCGAGGCUUAUCCAUUGCACUCCGGAUGUGCUGACCUCUGCGAUUUCCCCAAAUGCGGGAAACUCGACUGCAUAAUUUGUGGUAGUGGGGGACUG